rnacentral:rRNA from 1 species
AUUGAACGCUGGCGGCAGGCCUAACACAUGCAAGUCGAACGAGUGGCGGACGGGUGACUAAUGUCUGGGAAACUGCCAGAUGGAGGGGGAUAACUACUGGAAACGGUCGCUAAUAACACAUACCAUCAUAUGUGCCCAGAUGGGUUUAGCGUGUUGGUGGGGAAACGGCUCCCCAAGGAGACGAUCCCUAGCUGGUCUGAGAGGAUGACCAGCCACACUGGAACUGAGACACGGUCCAGACUCCUACGGGAGGCAGCAGUGGGUAAUAUUGCACAAGGGGCGCAAGCCUGAUGCAGCCAUGCCGCGUGUAUGAAGAAGGCCUUCGGGUUGUAAAGUACUUUCAGCGGGGAGGCGUUACCCGCAGAAGAAGCACCGGCUAACUCCGUGCCAGCAGCCGCGGUAAUUC